rnacentral:rRNA from 1 species
GGGUCUUGGCAUAUUUAAGGUUAAGCAUCUUUGGGUUUGAAUAGUACUGGGCUGGGUGACCUUCUGGGAAGUCCAAACUCAAGAGCUU